AGCAGUAGCCGCGGUAAUACGAAGGGGGCUAGCGUUGCUCGGAAUUACUGGGCGUAAAGGGAGCGUAGGCGGAUCGUUAAGUUGGGGGUGAAAGCCCGGGGCUCAACCUCGGAAUUGCCUUCAAUACUGGCGAUCUUGAGUAUGGAAGAGGUAUGUGGAACUCCGAGUGUAGAGGUGAAAUUCGUAGAUAUUCGGAAGAACACCAGUGGCGAAGGCGACAUACUGGUCCAUUACUGACGCUGAGGCUCGAAAGCGUGGGGAGCAAACAGGAUUAGAUACCCCAGUAGUCCCUGUCUCUUAUAC
rnacentral:rRNA from 1 species